GCGGUGGUGUCCCGAAGGCCUCACUGUUUCUGUCGCGUGGCCCGCUCAGCUGGGCUUGGCUGGGCUCAGCUCUCCGCUCCCGCCGUUACCAGGACGACCGUCUCCCCGCAGCCCAGGCUGCCCGGACUGGCGCCAUGAGCUCCCCCGACAAGGUGUCCGUUUGUGGGGCCGGUUUCGACCUGGAGGGUGGCAAAAAGGCUGGCUCCCGCACGGCCAGCCCCGGAGCCCCAGGGGCCCACAGCCACGGCCUCGAUUUGGGGGUGCCGGGCAGCGGCGAUGGCAAGAGCGAGAGCGGGUUCACAGAUCCAGAGGGCUUCAGCUUCGAGUCUGAGAGCGAAUUGAUAGAGCAAGGAAGGGUGGUGCUCUGGGGCCGGGAAGGCCGGCCAGGCACCCCGGUGGAUGACCAAGGGGACGUUGUGGACUACUCAUUCUACCUGGCUGACGAACCAGCCGCCAUCGUGCCGCCGCCCAGCGUCCAGGGACACCCGUUCCCAGAAGGUGCCGCUGCCGAAGGGUCGGCUGAGAAUUGGGCAGAUGCGGAGGUCGGUCCCAGUGGGAGAGACGUGCUGGGCCACAGCCCUGGAAAAUGGCAGCAGGCCUCUGCCGGCCGUCUCCACCUCUGCGGUCCUGGGCCAGUGCGGGCCUGGAAGAACCCGGAAAGGGGCUCGAAGAGCAGAUGGAGCCUCCGCGUGGAUCCCCAGCAGCCCUCUGCGAAAGGCCCCACCAGGCUGCCUACCCACGACUCUGAUUCCGCAGAUGAGAGCAGCGACUUACCACUGAUGAAGGUAGGCAUUUGCCGCAACGAAGGAAGCCAGGCCAAGCCCGGCAGCCCCAAGAAGCGAGCAGACACAUCCAGACAGGCAAGCUUCCACUGCAAGGAGAGUUACCUGCCUGUGCCGGGCCGUUUCCUGACCUCUGCUCCCCGCGGACUCACUCCAGUCGCAGAGAGGCCGGCUGUGGGAGAGCUGGAGGACUCUCCCCAGAAGAAAAUGCAGAGCAGGGCCUGGGGAAAGGUGGAGGUCAGGCCCAGCUGCUCAGGAGCUGCUGCUGCAGGGGCCCUGCCCCAGGGCCUUUCGAGGAGGAAGAUGGCCGGGGGGAAGAAGUCCCUAGGGGGUGCCUCUCAACUGGCCCUGGGGAGAGGCUUUCCUGCCUGCGGAGAGAGACUCUCAGCCGCUCCCCCGGAGCCGGCCACCUUCCCGCCAUUCUCUGGUGUGCGGCCACAGGGGAUGUCCAAGAAACCCCAAAAGCCUAAGCACAGCAGCCCUGGGAAGAAACCAGCAGGGAGGAAGACCAGGGAGUCCCAGGCUGCGGCCAGAGAAGAUAAUGACCCAAAUAGAGAUGAGGUCCCAAGAGCCCAACUUCCCACCCACAGGCCAGGACUGCCUCGCCUGUCUGUGCGUCGUGGAGAAUUCAGCAGUAGCGACCCCAACAUCAGAGCUCCCCAACUUCCGGGAACUUCAGAGCCCUCGGCCUACAGCCCGGGAGGCCUCGUGCCCAGACGCCAUGCACCCUCCGGUAACCAGCAGCCGCCUGUCCAUCCCCCAAGACCGGAAAGGCAGCAGCAGCCCCCGGGAGCCCAGGGCUGUCCUCGGUGCAUCUGGCUGCAGAGGGAAAUUGAGGACCUUACACAGCAGCUAGCGGCCAUGCAGUUCCUCACUGACAAGUUCCAGGACCUUUGAAGUUGGAGCCAGCAUCUUCCUACAAGAUGAACAGCUGCCACCUUUGGAGCUCCGGAGCUGCAGCCAAGCGGGUUCCCUCCAUAUCCUGUUCAGCCAGGGCUUCCUCUCUUCCGCUGCAUUUGCCCCCUUCCCAACGCAGUUCAAAGCAAUUUGAAAUAAAGUCGUUCUCAUA
rnacentral:lncRNA from 1 species